rnacentral:rRNA from 1 species
GAUGAACGCUGGCGGCGUGCCUAAUACAUGCCAGUCGAGCGAACGGACGAGAAGCUUGCUUCUCUGAUGUUAGCGGCGGACGGGUGAGUAACACGUGGAUAACCUACCUAUAAGACUGGGAUAACUUCGGGAAACCGGAGCUAAUACCGGAUGAUAUUUUGAACCGCAUGGUUCAAAAGUGAAAGACGGUCUUGCUGUCACUUAUAGCUGGAUCCGCGCUGCAUUAGCUAGUUGGUAAGGUAACGGCUUACCAAGGCAACGAUGCAUAGCCGACCUGAGAGGGUGAUCGGCCACACUGGAACUGAGACACGGUCCAGACUCCUACGGGAGGCAGCAGUAGGGAAUCUUCCGCAAUGGGCGAAAGCCUGACGGAGCAACGCCGCGUGAGUGAUGAAGGUCUUCGGAUCGUAAAACUCUGUUAUUAGGGAAGAACAUAUGUGUAAGUAACUGUGCACAUCUUGACGGUACCUAAUCAGAAAGCCACGGCUAACUACGUG